rnacentral:rRNA from 1 species
GGAAUCUUGCGCAAUGGCCGAAAGGCUGACGCAGCGACGCCGCGUGCGGGAGGAAGCCCUUCGGGUUGUAAACCCCUUUCAGGAGGGAAGAAAUUGACGGUACCUCCAAAAGAAGCCCCGGCCAACUACGUGCCAGCAGCCGCGGUAAUACGUAGGGGGCGAGCGUUGUCCGGAAUCAUUGGGCGUAAAGAGCUCGUAGGCGGUUCAGUAAGUCGGCUGUGAAAUUCCGAGGCUCAACCUCGGAACUGCAGUCGAAACUACUGUGACUCGAGUCCGGUAGAGGAGAAUGGAAUUCCCGGUGUAGCGGUGAAAUGCGCAGAUAUCGGGAGGAACACCAGUAGCGAAGGCGGUUCUCUGGGCCGGUACUGACGCUGAGGAGCGAAAGCGUGGGGAGC